UUUAGGUGCAAUCCCGUGGGGGAGAAGCGCACUUGGCAGCAGCUUAUGAUGAAACAUAAAAACAUUGUUCAAACAGCCAACAGAAAGAAGGCAGAUGCCUAUGAAACGGGUGGUAGCCCAGCACCACCACCCCUAACGGAGGCAGAGGAGCUGGCCCUAAGCCAGAAUUUAGGAUGGCCAGUGGCUAAAGGAAUACCUGAAGGGAGCUCAUCCUCUGAGAGACCUUGUAACUGUACAAGUCUUUAGUCAAAUGGUAGUUUAAAUAUACUGAAACGUAUCACUCAUCUAGGAUUAAGAGUAUGAGGAAACUGUAUCUGCUGCCUUUACAGAGGGGGAUCCAGAAAGGCCUAUAGAGGGCAUGGCUGGGCAGCAGCAGGAUGGUCCCUCAACUUCCACUGCACAGAUUGACACAAUGAGAUUCAUUCUGUGGAAUUCAUGUGCAACUGUAUAAUGUCCUCCUUGUAUGUAUUCCCAGUUACCAGUCAAAGACAUUUACAAAAUUCACCUGCUGAAAUUUUUUUUUAAAAAAACUGACAAAGAAAUGCAGUACUUGGACAGCCGGAUUAGGCGGGCAGACCUAGAAAUUGAAAUA